CUGUAUUCUCUACAGGAUCUCAUGACAGAUUCAAAUCCAAUGUUGGUGGCUAAUGCUGUAGCAGCAUUAUCUGAAAUCAGUGAGUCUCACCCAAACAGUAACUUACUUGAUCUGAAUCCACAGAACAUUAAUAAGCUGCUGACAGCCCUGAAUGAGCACACUGAAUGGGGCCAGAUUUUCAUACUGGACUGCUCAUCUAAUUACAACCCUAAAGAUGACCUGGAGAUUCAGAGUGGGUAAUUCCCUGGCUGCCUCAUGCCAACUCAGCGGUGGUGCUUUCAGCGGUGAAAGUCCUAAUGAAAUUUCCAGAGUUGUUACCCAAGGACUCUGACUACUACAAUAUGCUGCUGAAGAAGCUAGCCCCUCCACCUGUCACUUUGCUCUCUGAAGAGCCAGAAGUUCAGUAUGUUGCCCUGAGGAACAUCAGCCUAGUUGUCUAGAAAAGGUCUGAAAUCUUGAAGCAGGAAAUCAAAGUCUUCUUUGUGAAGAAAAUGAUCCCAUCUAUGUUAAACUAGAGAAGUUGGACAUCAUGAUUCGUUUGGCAUCUCAAGCCAACAUUGCUCAGGUUCUGGCAGAACUGAAGGAAUAUGCCUCAGAGGUGGAUAUUGACUUUGUUUGCAAAGCUGUGAGGGCCAUUGGACGGUGUGCCAUCAAGGUGGAGCAAUCUGCAGAGCAUUAUGUAAGCACAUUGCUUGAUCUAAUCCAGACCAAAGUAAAUUAUGUGGUCCAAGAAGCAGUUGUCACCAGGGACAUCUUCCAGAAAUACCCCAAGUAUGAAAGUGUCAUUGUCACUCCAUGUGAGAACUUGGACGCGCUGGAUGAGCCAGAUGCUUGAGCGGCUAUGAUUUGGAUUGUGGGAGAAUAUGGUGAAAGAGUUGAGAAUGCAGAUGAGUUACUAGAGAGCUUCCUGGAAGGUUUUCAUGAUGAAAGCACUCACGUGCAGCUCACUCUGCUUACUGCCAUAGUGAAGCUGUUUCUCAAGAAACCAUCAGAAAUACAGGAGCUGGUCCAACACGUUUUGAGUUUGGCAACACAGGAUUCUGAUAAUCCUGACCUUCAAGACCGGGGCUAUAUUAAUUGGCGCCUUCUCUCAACUGACCCUGUUAUGACCAAAGAAGUAGUCUUGUCUGAGAAGCCACUGAUUUCUAAGGAAACAAGACCUUAUUGAACCAACUCUGCUGGAUGAGCUCAUCUGCCACAUUGGUUCUUUGGUCUCUGUGUAUCAUAAGCCUCUCAAUGCUUUUGUGGAAGGGAGUUAUGGAAUCCAUUGCAAACACUUGCCAGUCCAUCAUGGGACCACUGAUGCAGGUGACAGCCCUGUUGGCACCACCACUGCAACCAACCUGGAACAGCUUCGGGUUAUCCCUCUCAAGGCGAUCUUCUAGGAGAUCUUUUAAACCUUGACCUCAGUCCUCCAGUCAAUGGGCCACAGGUAUCCUCCAUGCAGAUGGGAGCAGUGGAUCUCUUGGGAGGAGGAUAGAUAGUCUGGUGGGACAGUCCUUUAACCCGUCGUCUGUGCCUGCAGUCUUUGCUCCUUCACCUACACCUGCUGUGGACAGUAGUGGUCUGAAUGACUGUUUGUACUCUCCCCAGGAAUAGGCAUGGCAUCUGGUGGAUAUGUGGCUCCUAAGGCUGUCUGGUUACCUGCAGUAAAGGCUAAAGGGUUGGAAAUUUCAGGAACACUUACUCACCGCCAAGGGCACAUCUAUACAGAAAUGAACUUCGCUAAUAAAGCUCUGCAGCACACGACAGAUUUUGCAAUCCAGUUUAACAAGAAUAGCUUUGGUGUCAUCCCCAGCACUCCUCUGGCCAUCUCUACACCACUGAUGCCAAACCAGAGCACUGAUGUCUCCUUGCCUGUCAACACUUUGGGCCCAGUCAUGAAGAUGGGCCUCUGAAUAACCUGCAGGUGGCUGUGAAAAACAAUAUUGAUGUCUUCGACUUUAGCUGCCUCAUCCCACUCAACGUGCUUUUCGUAGAAAAUGGCAAAAUGGAGUGUCAGGUCUUCCUCGCGACGUGGAAGGAUAGUCCCAGUGAAAAUAAACUUCAGCUCCAGAUGAAGGGAUGUCAUUUAAAUGCUGGCACUGUUUCCAGCAAGUUGCAGAAAAGUAAUGUUUAUGCUAUUGCCAAGAGGAAUGUGGAAGGACAGGACAUGCUAUACCAAUCCUUGAAGCUCACUGAUGGCAUUUGGAUUUUGGCAGAGUUACAUAUCCAGCCAGGAAACCCUAAUCAUAUGGUGUCACUGAAGUGCAGAGCUCCUGAAGUCUCUCAGUACAUCUGUCAGGUCUACAACAGCAUUUUGAAAAACUAAUAGACUGGUCCAUCACCCUGCAGUCACUCUGUGAUCGGUGCAAGCCAAGAACUCUUAACAGGAAGAAAUUGUAUUGCUGUGUAGAAUCUGAACCCAAGUACACUGAGGCCACCCACCAAGGUAUUGACUAGUCUAACCUGUGCUAACAUGAGAGCACAACCUAUUGGAUAGUUUUAGCUUCCCGUAAACAUUUGUAACCACUGCUUCAAUCACCUUCCACCUCUUGCCACCUGCUGCUGCUGUCAGUCCUUACUUAUAGGCUUCUCCAUGCUGUGCCAGUGACUGGCUUUUUUUACACCCUCUUUUAAGUGUAGUUUGAUAUUUUGAAAUCGAGAGCUCAUUUCAAAAGCAGAAAAAGACAACAAAUAUUAAAGCAAGGAAAAGUGUCACU